rnacentral:rRNA from 1 species
CCUACGGGGGGCAGCAGUGAGGAAUAUUGGUCAAUGGACGAGAGUCUGAACCAGCCAAGUAGCGUGAAGGAUGACUGCCCUAUGGGUUGUAAACUUCUUUUAUAUGGGAAUAAAACGUUCCACGUGUGGGAUUUUGUAUGUACCAUAUGAAUAAGGAUCGGCUAACUCCGUGCCAGCAGCCGCGGUAAUACGGAGGAUCCGAGCGUUAUCCGGAUUUAUUGGGUUUAAAGGGGGCGUAGGUGGAUUGUUAAGUCAGUUGUGAAAGUUUGCGGCUCAACCGUAAAAUUGCAGUUGAAACUGGCAGUCUUGAGUACAGUAGAGGUGGGCGGAAUUCGUGGUGUAGCGGUGAAAUGCUUAGAUAUCACGAAGAACUCCGAUUGCGAAGGCAGUUCACUGGACUGCAACUGACACUGAGGCUCGAAAGUGUGGGUAUCAAACAGGAUUAGAUACCCUAGUAGUC